AGAACGAACGCUGGCGGCAGGCUUAACACAUGCAAGUCGAGCGCCCCGCAAGGGGAGCGGCAGACGGGUGAGUAACGCGUGGGAGCAUACCCUCCGGUUCGGAAUAGCUCAGGGAAACUUGGAUUAAUACCGGAUACGGCCUAGCGGCGAAAGAUUCAUCGCCGGAGGAUUGGCCCGCGUUCGAUUAGCUAGUUGGUGAGGUAACGGCUCACCAAGGCGACGAUCGAUAGCUGGUCUGAGAGGAUGAUCAGCCACAUUGGGACUGAGACACGGCCCAAACUCCUACGGGAGGCAGCAGUGGGGAAUAUUGGACAAUGGGCGCAAGCCUGAUCCAGCCAUGCCGCGUGAGUGAUGACGGCCUUAGGGUUGUAAAGCUCUUUCGCUCGGGACGAUAAUGACGGUACCGAGAUAAGAAGCCCCGGCUAACUUCGUGCCAGCAGCCGC
rnacentral:rRNA from 1 species